rnacentral:rRNA from 1 species
CCUACGGGAGGCAGCAGUGAGGAAUAUUGGUCAAUGGGCGAGAGCCUGAACCAGCCAAGUCGCGUGAAGGAUGACGGCCCUACGGGUUGUAAACUUCUUUUGUCAGGGAGCAAUUGAGUACACUUGUGGGCUUAGCGAGAGUACCUGAAGAAAAAGCAUCGGCUAACUCCGUGCCAGCAGCCGCGGUAAUACGUAGGAUGCGAGCGUUAUCCGGAUUUAUUGGGUUUAAAGGGUGCGUAGGCGGAAUGUCAAUUCAGCGGUAAAAAUUCGGGGCUCAACCCCGUCGUGCAGUUGAAACUGGUGUGCUUGAGUGGGCGAGAAGUAUGCGGAAUGCGUGGUGUAGCGGUGAAAUGCAUAGAUAUCACGCAGAACUCCGAUGGCGAAGGCAGCAUACCGGCGCCCAACUGACGCUGAAGCACGAAAGCGUGGGUAGCGAACAGGAUUAGAUACCCCUGUAGUC